rnacentral:rRNA from 1 species
GGGGAACCAGGACUUUUACUGUGAAAAAAUUAGAGUGCUCCAGGCAGGCCUAUGCUCGAAUACAUUAGCAUGGAAUAAUAGAAUAGGACGUGCGGUUCUAUUUUGUUGGUUUCUAGGACCGCCGUAAUGAUUAAUAGGGAUAGUCGGGGGCGUCAGUAUUCAGCUGUCAGAGGUGAAAUUCUUGGAUUUGCUGAAGACUAACUACUGCGAAAGCAUUCGCCAAGGAUGUUUUCAUUAAUCAGGGAACGAAAGUUAGGGGAUCGAAGACGAUCAGAUACCGUCGUAGUCUUAACCAUAAACUAUGCCGACUAGGGAUCGGGCGGGGUUCUAUGAUGACCCGCUCGGCACCUUACGAGAAAUCAAAGUUUUUGGGUUCUGGGGGGAGUAUGGUCGCAAGGCUGAAACUUAAAGAAAUUGACGGAAGGGCACCACAAGGCGUGGAGCCUGCGGCUUAAUUUGACACAACACGGGGAAACUCACCAGGUCCAGACAAAAUAAGGAUUGACAGAUUGAGAGCUCUUUCUUGAUCUUUUGGAUGGUGGUGCAUGGCCGUUCUUAGUUGGUGGAGUGAUUUGUCUGCUUAAUUGCGAUAACGAACGAGACCU